AGAGUUUGAUCCUGGCUCAGGAUGAACGCUAGCUACAGGCUUAACACAUGCAAGUCGAGGGGCAGCGGGAUUGAAGCUUGCUUCAAUUGCCGGCGACCGGCGCACGGGUGAGUAACGCGUAUCCAACCUUCCGUACACUCAGGGAUAGCCUUUCGAAAGAAAGAUUAAUACCUGAUGGUAUGAUAAGCACACAUGUAUAUUAACAUUAAAGAUUCAUCGGUGUACGAUGGGGAUGCGUUCCAUUAGGUAGUAGGCGGGGUAACGGCCCACCUAGCCGACGAUGGAUAGGGGUUCUGAGAGGAAGGUCCCCCACAUUGGAACUGAGACACGGUCCAAACUCCUACGGGAGGCAGCAGUGAGGAAUAUUGGUCAAUGGACGAGAGUCUGAACCAGCCAAGUAGCGUGAAGGAUGAAGGUCCUACGGAUUGUAAACUUCUUUUAUAAGGGAAUAAACCCUCCCACGUGUGGGAGCUUGUAUGUACCUUAUGAAUAAGCAUCGGCUAACUCCGUGCCAGCAGCCGCGGU
rnacentral:rRNA from 1 species